GACCGCUCUCCACGUGGCUGCCGCUGAAGGUCAUGGGGAAGUCGUCCGCUUUUUGCUUGAAGCCUGCAAAGUGAACCCCGUCCCUAAGGAUAGGUGGGGCAACACGCCGCUCGACGAGGCCAUCCACUUUGGACACCACGAUGUCGUCCAGAUCCUCCAAGACCACCACAACAAGUACGUCCCCCACGAGAGCCCGAGCAGCGAGACGGCCGAGAAGAACCUGGAUGGCUUGCUCUGAGGGGCGGAGCCUCCUCUCCAGCUUUGCUUCCUAUUGGUUGUCGUAGCGCUCGUGUUGGUCCCGUGACAUGGCGUAGUAUUCAUCUGUGUGUCUGUGUGUGGGCACCCGCCCCACGCCAGCCCCCCGCUCGGCCUGGCGCCCCCUGCUGGCUGGCUGGCUGGCUGGCGGCGACUCCUCUGAAUGUAACUCUUGGUGUUUGGGUAUUUAUUGAGACGCGUCGUGUGGCGCGUGGCAGGCAAUCAGAAUAUUUAUUUUGAUGAUACAUGUUGAAUAAAAGCACUGCUUCAAGGCACA